GAGGACCGUAUUCAUGGAAGAGGAUCGAACAGUAAAGAGCCCAGCAUUUGAUAAAAAUGAGAAUAUAUCGCCUCAAGCAGAAGCAGAUGAAGAUAUGGGAGAUGAAGUAGACAGUAUGUUGGAUAAAUCUGAAGGAAGAACAUCAACAACAAAUUUUGUGAGCAGUAUAUAACUACAUUUCAGAAGUCUUAUAUGGAUGUACAGAAAUUCAAUGAGGAAAAAGAAAAAUCAGUGAAUAGUUGUCAAAAAGAACAACAAGCAUUGAAACUGUCCAAAUGUAGUCAGAACCAGACCCUGGAAGCAGGUAAAGAAAUGCAUGAGAAGUCCAUGGAGCUGCAUCAUUGGACUCAAACUGAAUGGUCCAUGUGUUGCCACUGAUGUGAGCCAUU
rnacentral:lncRNA from 1 species